UACGAAGGGGGCUAGCGUUGCUCGGAAUCACUGGGCGUAAAGGGUGCGUAGGCAGGUCUUUAAGUCAGGGGUGAAAUCCUGGAGCUCAACUCCAGAACUGCCUUUGAUACUGAGGAUCUUGAGUUCGGGAGAGGUGAGUGGAACUGCGAGUGUAGAGGUGAAAUUCGUAGAUAUUCGCAAGAACACCAGUGGCGAAGGCGGCUCACUGGCCCGAUACCUGACGCUGAGGCACGAAAGCGUGGGAGCAAACAGGG
rnacentral:rRNA from 1 species